CCCUUUGUAUUGUAUGCAUUUAGCCUUUCUAUGUGACAUUGAUUAGAACUGAAAUGAUUUUUAAAGAUGCUAGAUUUCUAGCUUUGCUCUUUUGGGUAUAUGAUGCCACAACUUAACGGAAACGAAUACUAGGUGCAGUAUGAUAAACCACACUGGAAAACGGGAUGUGUUUGAUCACAGCGCAAAACUUGUCUCAUGUGACUCACCCUGGGGUAAUGGCGACAGCAUUUGCGGUGGGAAGAAUACUGGGGCUGGGAGAAUUAAUCAAUACCACAGGAGUAAGGCCCAGCAAGGCAACAGGAUGUGUCUAAGUUUCUCCGGGUCAGCGGGAUUGGGGCGAGCGCUGGAAAGCAUGGUUGUGGCCUGCGGGGCCAGGCUGUUUUACCGCCCUCAUGUUCACUGUAGAGCUCGCCUCCAGACCAUGCAGAUCCUCCUCCAAGGAUCUUUCGCUGAGCCAGCGCCGGCCUUCCCACAGCCCCCUGAGUCACUGGGGAAGGCGCGCGGAGAGCCCGCCUACAAAAUCGCCUCAAUUUCCCAAACCGCGUACUCAAGAGUCCAGGACUUGUUUUGUUCCGGAGCCUCUGGCUCAGUGGCAGCUCCUGCAGAUGCAGUUACUGCCCGGGCCCAGGACACACGUGGCCUGCCACACUACCCAGCCUGCUCCUUCUGCACCUCUCCUCCCGGCCACCGCCGCACCAAGGGCGGGGACAUUUUAGCAUUCGAGGGAAAUGCACUGGAGAUCACUAGGGCCACAUGGAUUUUCUCCCCAGUGCAGCCCUAGAGCCACAGGCCGCAGUAACCCGACGCUUGACAAGUUCACCGUGCAUCCUGUUGACAAGUUCACCGCGCGCAUCCUGAAGCUGUUUUCUUUCUGACCCAAACGACAAAUCGUCAAACCAGAGGAGCCAAGGCUCUGCGACAAACCACUGGCGCGUGUGGCAGCUGCCAGAGGCCAGAGCCAGCGAUAAGACAGAUGACCAAAUUUGGCUGUUCAGAGAUCUGCCGGAGCUCAAGGAAGUUGGAAAGGAAAGGCCUGGCAUGGGGUAGGCAGGAGGCAGCAGCCUGAUGAGGUUCCCACAGGUCACCCACUGGCCCCCAGCCUGGAGGGCCCACAGACCAAACCCACUGGGGGCCGAUGUGUGGACCAGAGGCUGGUCUGUCCAGAUGUCCAGCCUGUGCUGUCAUUCCUCCCUGGAGCCCUAGAUCCUGGGCAAAGUAGCACCAUACAGUGAUGUUUUGAUGACAGACAAACUGCAGAGGUGGUGACAUCGUGGCUGUCCUAGUUUACAUCAGUCCAUUCAGUCCUUCACACAGUGACAAAAUCCCUGAAGGUAGAACUAGUGUUCAAGACCAUGUAUUCCCCUGUCUCUCUGAAGUUCAUGCACACAGCCCCCUUCAAAGAUGCCCUCGGUGAAUCCAGGGUCUUCACGCCUGAGUGAGCUACCUCCUCAGCCAUUUUUAUUUUAUUUCAUUUCUUUUCUUUUGAGAUAGGGUCUUGGUAAGUUGCCCAGACCUGGUUUGAACUUGUGGUCCUCCUGCCCCAGCCUCCCAGAGUGCUGGGAUUACAGGCCUGGGCCACCACACAGACUGGGCUAAUUAUUUUUUAACAGAGAAAGGGAGAGAGGGCCUAUUGGUCACCAGGCAGAAAGAGGAGAAAAGGGCGGGAGGGAGGAAGUUCAUUCACUUCGGAGAUAACUGGACACCGAUGAAUUGUUAACUGGAAUCUAUAGAGGAUGAGAAGCUUUGAAGCAGUUUUUUCUUUCCUGGUUAAAAAAAAAAUAAAAAUAACAACAAAAAAAAUCCCACCUUUCAGGUGUUAAUCUUUCUAAAUUACUUUAUUGAUUUCCUCCCUUAGUUACUAAGGUCUAAUAGCCUUUGUAGGUAUCUGAUGACCAUAGACUGUUAAAGAUAUAGCAAUCAUGUUAUAAAAGAUUGUUCUGAACCC
ensembl:lncRNA